rnacentral:lncRNA from 1 species
UAUGAAUUUAAUGAUAUUUAUCGUACUAGUAGCAACAGUAUCAGUAACGAUGGUAUUAACACUGGUAAUAAUUGUAUCGAUAAUAGUAGUCAUAAUAAUAUUACAGGAAAACAAAAAUAUUUAUAUUCAUCAAAUUUUAAAAAUAAUUAUGCACAUAUUCAUAAUUUUGGUACAAGUAUUAAUACUAAAAAUUUAAGUAAUAACAAAAUUAAUAUGAAUAGUUCAGGUUUAUAUGGGUAUAAAAAAAAUGAUAAUACAAAUAACAUGUAUAUUAAUAGUAGUAGUAGUAGUAAUACUGCUAAAGUAAAUACAAUGACACGACAAACAAAUAAAGGUCUCUAUGCUAAUGUUAACACAAAUAUAUCUAAUUCAAUUGGGAAUAAAAAAUCUAAUGAAGAAGGUGUAGCUAAUAUACAAAAUAUAAAUAAUAUGUUUAAUUCUAAAAGUUUAAUAAAUCAAGAAGGGAAUAAUAGUACUAUAUCUGAUUAUAAAAAUAAUUAUUUAUCGGAUAGUUCGCAGAUAGAUGAUAUUGCAUAUGACAGCACAUAUAUGCAUGUUACUUAUAACGAUAAUAAUAAUAAUAAUAAUAAUAAUAAUAAUAAUAAUAAUAAUAAUNNNNNNNNNNAUAAUAAUAAUAAUAAUAAUAAUAAUAAUAAUAAUAAUAAUAAUAAUAAUAGUAAUAGUAAUAGUAGGGGUAGUAGUAAUAAUAGAGUUAAUAGAAACAGACUUGAUAAUCAAUACUUAAAUAUGAACAUAGUAGGAAAUAGUAAUUUUGAAAAUAUUGGCAUGUCCAACAUUCCCAACAAUACAAACAAUGAGAAUUAUAAUAUAAUCAAUGAGAAUUAUAAUGCAAGCAGUGAAAAUUAUAAUGCAAGCAGUGAAAAUUANNNNNNNNNNAAUUAUAAUGCAAGCAGUGAAAAUUAUAAUGCAAGCAGUGAAAAUUAUAAUGCAAGCAGUGAGAAUUAUAAUGGUAUUAUAAACAGUAGUAACAAUCCUAGUGAUAAUAAAAAUGUAGUACCUCUUUCAAAUUAUAAUAAUGUACCUAUAGAAGCUUAUACAUUAGAUCCUAUAUAUAAAAAUGUUAGUACCCCUGAUGAAGAACUAGUAAAUAUGGUAAUAAAAAACGAAGAUAUAUUAAAUAAUAUUUUAAAAUCAAAAAUGCAGGACAUGUUGACAUGGAGUGUCGAACAACGUACUCAAGUUAUGUCUAUACAAAAGGCCUUAUUAUUAAAGGGGUACCAAUUGAGGUGAAAAAAAAAAAAAAAAAAAAAAAAAAAAUGUCAACUGUGUACCUAAGUGUCUCUUGAAUAUAUAUGUGUUUGUUUACGUAUCUGUCUAUUUGUUGUCUACCUAUAUAUCGUAUAUAUCGUAUAUAUCGUAUAU